CCCUUAGAUGUCCGGGGCCGCACGCGCGCUACACUGAAGGAAUCAGCGUGGCUUUCUCCCUGACCCGAAAGGGUUGGGAAACCCGUUGAAUCUCCUUCGUGAUAGGGAUUGGGGCUUGAAAUUGUUCCCCAUGAACGGGGAAUUCCCAGUAAGCGCGAGUCAUAAGCUCGCGUUGAUUACGUCCCUGCCCUUUGUACACACCGCCCGUCGCUACUACCGAUUGAACGGUUUAGUGAGGGCCUCGGAUUGGUCGCGGCCCGCUCUUUACCGGGCGGCGCCGUUGGUCGAGAAGACGCUCGAACUUGAUCGUUUAGAGGAAGUAAAAGUCGUAACA
rnacentral:rRNA from 1 species